rnacentral:lncRNA from 9 species
UUGCUUCCAAUUGCUUCUACGGUGUGCUGGUGACGGGAGGGGAACAACCACCAUCUCUCUAUAUGUUUACCCAUUUACCAGGAAAUAUGUUUAUACUGUUUUCCAAUCAGGAUUUACCACAAGCCGGGAGUUCCACACCUAAUGACCAGGCCAAACCCAGCCCACUGUCAACAGAGAAAAGUCGGCCUCAAACAUGAGAGAUUUUAAAUCACAAUGGACGUUCGAGGAGCAUGACUGCCAGCACUGUGAGCAGCAGGGCUGUCUCCAGCCGUCGACAGGGAUGCCGGCUUCAUCUUCCACAGCCCGCAGGCAGUUCCAGGCACCCCUUCUUGCUGGCAAAAUGGGAGUUCACAGGCCAGAGGAGCCAUCAGUCCUAACACAGCACAAAGAAGGAAACACGACCAUGAGAGAACGGAGAAGGGCCACCCUAGGCAGCCAGCCAAAGGGGCAAGAGGUAAAAAGAGUGGAAGUGGCGCGCCGUCGAGAUUCCCCAAAAGAAAAUAGAAAACCAUCUUGGACAACCAGCUACAGCGCGUACCAACAAAUAAAAAGAAGACAUUCUGGAGUUCCCGCUGUGACACGGGGGGUUAGGACCCUGAUUACAGAUGCCUGGGUUGCUGUGGAGGCAUGAGUUGAAUUGCCGGCCCAGGGCAGUGGCUUAAAGGAUCUGUCACCGCCACAGGCGCAGCGUAGAUCACAGCUGUGGCUCAGAUUCAAUCCCUGGCUUGGGAACGUCCAUAGGCCACAAGUGUGGCCACCAAAAAAAAAAAAAAAAAAAAAAGCUGCCCAAGAAUCCCCAAGAUCCCCAUUGCAGAACUGUUCAGACCACACACUGUUCUGGUGAAGAGUACAGCCUGGAGUCAGGGCGCCUGGAUGUGAACCCUGGUUCUGAUACUUAGCUGUAGAUGUUGGGCAAGUUACUUAGCUUUUUAGCGCUCCAGUUUCUUCAUCAGUAACGUAGGAAUAGUAACAGUACCCACCUGAUACAGUUGUCAUGCAUCACUUCUUCUCUCCAAGUUUAAAAAUACCUUUCAAAAGAAACAAGGAGGAAAUUAACUUGCUAAGAUUAUAUACCUUGUAGCAGUUAAAAAAAAAAAAAUCCCCAGAGAAGUUAAAUCAUCCAAAAUGAGGUUGGGAGAGGGAAGACGUGGAGGGGAAGACACUGAUGAAAAAUUCUGGCUCCCGUCCUUCAGAAGAGGGUGAACUGUUGAGGGAACAGCACUGUGAGGAGGAAACUAGCAAAACACAGAGGAGGAAAGACCAUUAUGAAAGAAUAUUCAAAGUACUUUUAGGAAAUUCUCUGGAGGGAAGUAGGAAGGCAAGCGUCCUAUCUCAUGGUGAGGCAGAAAGAGAACUAGAGCAAUCAGAGAAUGGAGUUUUAUUUCUAAAUCUGACACUGGUAUCACCUUGGUCAACUGACCUCACCUGCCUCAGCCUCAUUUCCUUAAAAAUUAUCUCCAUGCACUCUACUCUCUUCAGCUCUCAAAUCUUUGAUUCUAGCAAUCAGUACUCCAGUUCAGGAGAUCUGAUACUCACGGGCCUUCCAUGAAGACACAUGAAAGUCUAUAGCAGGCAAAGCCCCUCCAUCAAUGAGGCAAAUCAAGGGAAUCCUAGAAGGCUGGUUGUGGAAUUGGGUUCUGAGGGCUCUGCUCUCUAGGGAACAAUUUGGCUUAGUUGUCUCUUUCAAAGUCAUGGAAUCACAGGAUUGCCCAAACUGGAAAGUACCCUGCACCCUCAUUCUGCAGGUUCAGAAAAGUCAAAUGACCUGGCCAAGGUCAUCCAGCAGAAUAUGGCAGAGCCAGGACUAGAGCUUGCCCACUGCCUCUGCUGUCUGUAAAUGCAGGGGCUCAAGGGCUAGAACACAGCAAGUGUGCCCUUACAUAUGACUUUUAAUUGAACAGUGUCUUGGACACAAGCAGGGCUGGGGCUAGGGUAAGGUAAACGGGGCACUGGUGUCAGGAGCAAAAUUAAAGGCGGAGCAUAAAAAAACUCAGCAUUAAAACACAGUAUCUUUAAUGCACUACUAAAAAUUAAAAAUCCAUGAACAAAAUACACAAUAUAACAUUUUCAAAUAAAGACAGAAUGGGGAGUUUCUGUCAUGGCUCAGUGGUUAACGAAUCCAACUAGGAACCAUGGGUUGCGGGUUCGAUCCCUGGCCUCGCUCAGUGGGUUAAGGAUCUGGCAUUGCUGUGACUGCGGCGUAGGUCACAGAUGAGGCUUGGAUCCCGUGUUGCUGUGGCUCUGGCAUGGCCAGUGGCUACAACCCUGAUUAGACCCCUAGCGCGGGAACCUCCAUAUGCUGUGGGAACAGCCAUAAAAAGGCAAAAAAAAAAAAAAAAAAAGACAGAAUUGGGAGAUUCCUGAUAGCCUAGCAAUUAAGGACUCAGUGUUGUCACUCCUGUGGCUAGGUUUCCACCCCUGGCCUGAGAACUUCUGCAUGCUACAGGUGCAGCCAAAACACACACACACACAGACUGCACUUGUUCAAACCUGCCUCACCCAUCUCAUCGAAUCCUUGCCCUGGUUCCAAAGAAAUUCUGUUUACAAAAGGCGACAAGCCAUGGCCAUAGUCUGCACAUUUGACUGUUUAAAAUAUUUCACUAAAACAUUAAUCUCCAUUUCUGAACUUCCUGAUGCCCCUUAAAUUUUGUACCCGCAGGAAAUGCCUUAUUCUCUUGUCCCUAGUGAUGCCCCUGCGCAGACAAGACGGUCCCUGUCCUCAGGUCCAGGUCACCAGGGUUCCUCACCUGGCCUCAAGGGAGUCUGCAGAUGGGUCCUUGGGAUCUGCGAAUCUCCUCAAAUUAUAGGCAAAAUAUUGUGUUCACAAAUCUUUUCCUGGGGAAACUUUCAUGGGGUCCCAAAAGGACCCCUAAAAGAUGAAGAAGCCUUGCCACAGGAUGAGGCAGGAUGUUUGCUUCUAUCACAAACCCCCCCACUCCUGAUUUUCCUGUCUUCUCCUUCCUCCUUUAUUAGUCUUCCUCCAUAAAAUGGCAUAAAAUGAAACUCUUUAAGAGAAAACUUUCUCACCCACGUGUAAACGACUUGAUAACCCAGGGCCCUGUUUAUGCAGUCAGCUCAAAAGCCUUGGAACAAUGAUAGGAGUCGCUUAAGGUAGCAAUUCAAGCAUUUGGAACAGGCUUUAGGAGGCAUCUUCUAGGCCUUCCACCUCAAACCACGUCUAUCACCCCGCGUCCUGGAGACUUCCCAACCCUUCCCUGGUGUGUCUCCCCACCUCCAAAGGCCACAGCCACACCCUCCACAAGUCGAGAUACUUAAGUAAACACCUGCUGAAAAAGAAACCCUCUCUGGCAAGAG